rnacentral:misc_RNA from 1 species
UCUCCGUAGGUGAACCUGCGGAGGGAUCAUUACAGAGUUCAUGCCCUCACGGGUAGAUCUCCCACCCUGUGUUAUUAUACUUUGUUACUUUGGCAGGCCGCCCGCGUGGGCUACCGGCUCCAGCUGGUAAGUGCCUGCCAGAGGACCCCAAACUCUGAAUAUUUUAUUGUCUGAGUACUAUAUAAUAGUUUAAAACUUUCAACAACGGAUCUCUUGGUUCUG